rnacentral:rRNA from 1 species
AGCUUGCUCCCUGAAGUCAGCGGCGGACGGGUGAGUAACACGUGGGCAACCUGCCUGUAAGACUGGGAUAACUUCGGGAAACCGGAGCUAAUACCGGAUAAUUCUUUCCCUCACAUGAGGGAAAGCUGAAAGAUGGUUUCGGCUAUCACUUACAGAUGGGCCCGCGGCGCAUUAGCUAGUUGGUGAGGUAACGGCUCACCAAGGCAACGAUGCGUAGCCGACCUGAGAGGGUGAUCGGCCACACUGGGACUGAGACACGGCCCAGACUCCUACGGGAGGCAGCAGUAGGGAAUCUUCCGCAAUGGACGAAAGUCUGACGGAGCAACGCCGCGUGAGUGAUGAAGGUUUUCGGAUCGUAAAACUCUGUUGUUAGGGAAGAACAAGUACCGGAGUAACUGCCGGUACCUUGACGGUACCUAACCAGAAAGCCACGGCUAACUACGUGCCAGCAGCCGCGGUAAUACGUAGGUGGCAAGCGUUGUCCGGAAUUAUUGGGCGUAAAGCGCGCGCAGGCGGUUCCUUAAGUCUGAUGUGAAAGCCCCCGGCUCAACCGGGGAGGGUCAUUGGAAACUGGGGAACUUGAGUGCAGAAGAGAAGAGUGGAAUUCCACGUGUAGCGGUGAAAUGCGUAGAGAUGUGGAGGAACACCAGUGGCGAAGGCGACUCUUUGGUCUGUAACUGACGCUG